rnacentral:lncRNA from 1 species
GGAAUUAUGGAGCCCACUUGUGGAAAUAUCAUCCCAAUCAAACAAAGGGCCUUCCUCAAGUUCUCCGAAGAGAAUGGGCAAGAAUUUUUCAAAGAUAAAUCUAAUUCAUGAAACAAACUAACAAACAAACAAUCUUAUCUUUAGAGCUGGAAGGGCCCUUAAAGCUUACCUGUCCGUUAAUUCAGUGAUGUGGACAAGCCCAGAGAUAUUAGGGAUGUUGACAAGCUUGCAGUUAGAUAUGCCACUAGGGUUGGGCUGGAAUCCAGGGUUCCAAAGAUUUCUAAAACUAAAAAAAUAACUUACCCCUUGUGUGCGUAUGAAUAUGAAGUCGGUCUCUCUCUCUCUCUCUCUCUCUCUCUCUCUCUCUCUCUCUGUCUCUCUCUGUCUCUCUGUCUGUCUCUGUCUCUGUCUCUGUCUCUGUCUCUCUCUCUCUCUCUCUCUCUCUCUCUCUCCCUCUGUGUGUGUGUGUGUUCAGGUUUGCUAGUCCAAGCCAUGGGAAUAUUAGGCUUCCUUUAACAUGAAGCAGUUUACUAUGCCAGCAGGUUCCUGGUGGGGUUGUUAUACAAAAGCUAAAGUUUCAAAUGUUGCAGGCUCCAGGUCUGUAUACAGUUGCAGCUUCUUUGUCCUCCACUCAUGGCUACUUACAUUUUAUCUGGGUGCUUGUAAUAUUAGGAUGCAUGUCUUCCCUCUCACAGCUGGGUUGGAAGCUGUAACUGACAGCCUGUGAAGGAUGCUGUAAACAGAGUUACCAUGCAAAUGUCAAGUGCUGAGGGGCCU